GAUGAACGCUAGCGGCAGGCUUAACACAUGCAAGUCGAGGGGCAUCGGGAGGGAAGCUUGCUUUCCUUGCCGGCGACCGGCGCACGGGUGAGUAACACGUAUGCAACCUGCCCUCUUCAGGGGGACAACCUUCCGAAAGGGAGGCUAAUCCCGCGUAUAUCGGUUUCGGGCAUCCGAGAUCGAGGAAAGAUUCAUCGGAAGAGGAUGGGCAUGCGGCGCAUUAGCUAGACGGCGGGGUAACGGCCCACCGUGGCGACGAUGCGUAGGGGUUCUGAGAGGAAGGUCCCCCACACUGGUACUGAGACACGGACCAGACUCCUACGGGAGGCAGCAGUGAGGAAUAUUGGUCAAUGGGAGAGAUCCUGAACCAGCCAAGCCGCGUGAGGGAAGACGGCCCUAUGGGUUGUAAACCUCUUUUGUCGGAGAACAAAACCCGGGACGUGUCCCGGACUGCGUGUAUCCGAAGAAAAAGCAUCGGCUAACUCCGUGCCAGCAGCCGCGGUAAUACGGAGGAUGCGAGCGUUAUCCGGAUUUAUUGGGUUUAAAGGGUGCGUAGGCGGUCCGUUAAGUCAGCGGUAAAAUUGCGGGGCUCAACCCCGUCGAGCCGUUGAAACUGGCAGACUUGAGUUGGCGAGAAGUACGCGGAAUGCGCGGUGUAGCGGUGAAAUGCAUAGAUAUCGCGCAGAACUCCGAUUGCGAAGGCAGCGUACCGGCGCCAGACUGACGCUGAGGCACGAAAGCGUGGGGAUCGAACAGGAUUAGAUACCCUGGUAGUCCACGCAGUAAACGAUGAAUGCUGGUUGUCCGGGUCGAAUGAGAUCUGGGCGGCGAAGCGAAAGCGAUAAGCAUUCCACCUGGGGAGUACGCCGGCAACGGUGAAACUCAAAGGAAUUGACGGGGGCCCGCACAAGCGGAGGAACAUGUGGUUUAAUUCGAUGAUACGCGAGGAACCUUACCCGGGCUCAAACGGGAGUGGAAUGGACCAGAGACGGUUCAGCCUACGGGCCGCUUCCGAGGUGCUGCAUGGUUGUCGUCAGCUCGUGCCGUGAGGUGUCGGCUUAAGUGCCAUAACGAGCGCAACCCCCGCCGGCAGUUGCUAACGGGCAAUGCCGAGGACUCUGCCGGGACUGCCGCCGCAAGGCGUGAGGAAGGCGGGGAUGACGUCAAAUCAGCACGGCCCUUACGUCCGGGGCGACACACGUGUUACAAUGGGCGGUACAGCGGGAAGCCAGGCGGCGACGCCGAGCGGAACCCGAAAGCCGUUCUCAGUUCGGAUCGGAGUCUGCAACCCGACUCCGUGAAGCUGGAUUCGCUAGUAAUCGCGCAUCAGCCAUGGCGCGGUGAAUACGUUCCCGGGCCUUGUACACACCGCCCGUCAAGCCAUGGGAGCCGGGGGUGCUUGAAGUGCGUCGCCGCGAGGCGCGCCCUAGAGCAAAACCGGUGACUGGGGCUAAGUCGUAACAAGGUAGCCGUACCGGAAGGUGCGGCUGGAACACCUCCUUUCUGGAGACCUAUAGCGUCUGAAACGCAAGUUUGUCUUGUGGGAAAAAUAUAAGGAUAAGAAGUCUGAACGCUUCUUAUCUUACUAUCAGAAUAGGACAAUGACAAGGCUGGAAGCGAGAGUCGAUGAAAAAGUCGGCUCAGCGAGAAGACAAGAGUAGAAACACAACAAAAAGUUUCACGAGCAAAUCGAAAGGCGACAAUGUCGAACUUAGUUUCGUACAUAAAUAUAUGCCGCAAGGCAUAAAAGAAAUAACGGAACGAACAAGGGCGCAUGGGGGAUGCCUUGGCUCUCGGAGGCGAAGAAGGACGUGACAAGCUGCGAAAAGCUGCGGCGAGUGGCAAAUACACCGUGACCCGCAGAUAUCCGAAUGGGGCAACCCGUAGGGAGCGAUCCCUACAUCAGUCGGAACGACUGAGGCGAACGUGGGGAACUGAAACAUCUUAGUACCCGCAGGAAGAGAAAGUAACAACGAUUCUCCCAGUAGCGGCGAGCGAACGGGGAAGAGCCCAAACCGGCGGCGUUUCGGCGCGUGCCGGGGUUAUAGGACCGCUCAAAGGCGCAUGCGAGCGUAGCGGAAGGAGAUGGAAUGCUCCCCCGCAGACGGUGAGAGGCCGGUACGCGAAACGCAGACAUGCCAGGAGCGGCACCUGAGUAGGGCGGGACACGAGAAAUCCCGUCUGAAUUAUCGGGGACCAUCCCGAAAGGCUAAAUACUACCGAGAGACCGAUAGCGAACC
rnacentral:rRNA from 1 species